rnacentral:rRNA from 1 species
CCUACGUGUGGCUGCAGUGAGGCAUAUUGGUCAAUGGACGCGAGUCUGAACCAGCCAAGUAGCGUUAAGGAUGACUGCCCUAUGGGUUGUAAACUUCUUUUAUAUGGGAAUAAAAUGUUCCACGUGUGGGUUUUUGUAUGUACCUUAUGAAUAAGGAUCGGCUAACUCCGUGCCAGCAGCCGCGGUAAUACGGAGGAUCCGAGCGUUAUCCGGAUUUAUUUGGUUUAAAGGGAGCGUAGGUGGAUUGUUAAGUCAGUUGUGAAAGUUUGCGGCUCAACCGUAAUAUUGCAGUUGAUACUGGCAGUCUUGAGUACAGUAGAGGUGGGCGGAAUUCGUGGUGUAGCGGUGAAAUGCUUAGAUAUCACGAAGAACUCCGAUUGCGAAGGCAGUUCACUGGACUGCAACUGACACUGAGGCUCGAAAGUGUGGGUAUCGAACAGGAUUAGAUACCCGAGUAGUC